rnacentral:tRNA from 1 species
CCCGGCGUGGCGUAGCGGUUAGGGAGCUGGGCUGGGAACUCCCAGGUUGUGGGUUUGAAUCCCGCGAGGGGG